rnacentral:misc_RNA from 1 species
UAACUUCUCAAUCAUGUCGAAUUUAUUUUUCGAGGUGGCUUGGAUUGUGGGGGUUUGCGGGCUUCAAUAUGAAGUCGGCUCCUCUGAAAUGCAUUAGUGGUAAUCUGAAGCAGAACUGCUACUAUUAGGUGUGAUAAUUAUCUAUGCCUUUUUGGUAUACUGCAUGAAACAGAUUGUGCUGCUUUCCAACUGUGCACCUUUCUCCUAGGGUGUGUUUUGACAA